rnacentral:rRNA from 1 species
CGCAUCUGUGCAUGCAGCAUAUCAAUAAGCGGAGGAAAAGAAACUAACAAGGAUUCCCCUAGUAACGGCGAGUGAAGCGGGAAGAGCUCAAAUUUGAAAUCUUAAAGGGUUUCCCUUUACGAAUUGUAGUUUAAAGAAGUGUUUUCUGUUGAGGUUUUGGUAAAAGUUCUUUGGAAUAGGACAUCAUAGAGGGUGAGAAUCCCGUAUUUGACCUUUACUUUCAACUUUGUGAUACACUUUCAAAGAGUCGGAUUGUUUGGGAAUGCAGUCCAAAGUGGGUGGUAAAUUUCAUCUAAAGCUAAAUAUUGGCGAGAGACCGAUAGCGAACAAGUACCGUGAGGGAAAGAUGAAAAGAACUUUGAAAAGAGAGUUAAACAGUACGUGAAAUUGUCAAAAGGGAAGCGUUUGACACCAGUGUUGUUUUUCUGAAAAUCAAUUAAAGAACUGUUUAUGCUAAGUUGUUUAGACUUUAUCAGCUAACUGUUUAGUUUUGAGCUUUUCUUUAAUGCACUUUUCAGUUAACAAGUCAACAUCAAUUUCUUUUGCUGUAAAAAAGCUUGAGGAAGGUGGCUUGAGAUUCGUCUUAAGUGUUUAUAGCCUCUUGCCUAUGCAGUUGGAGAGAUUGAGGUCUGCAGCGUAGAUCCUUCGGGGCUAAAUGCAUUUGUGCUAAGUUAUAGCAUUUUAUAGACAACUUGUUGACUAUGAUUUGUCUUGUAGCUUACUCGCUUAUGUUAUUUUACCUACGCUUAGGAUGUUGAACGCGCACAGAGUCUC